rnacentral:rRNA from 1 species
GUGAACGCUGGCGGUCGGCCUAACACAUGCACGUCGAACGGCAGCACCGUAAGAGCUUGCUCUUACGGGUGGCGAGUGGCGGACGGGUGAGGAAUACAUCGGAAUCUACUUUUUCGUGGGGGAUAACGUAGGGAAACUUACGCUAAUACCGCAUACGACCUACGGGUGAAAGCAGGGGAUCUUCGGACCUUGCGCGAUUGAAUGAGCCGAUGUCGGAUUAGCUAGUUGGCGGGGUAAAGGCCCACCAAGGCGACGAUCCGUAGCUGGUCUGAGAGGAUGAUCAGCCACACUGGAACUGAGACACGGUCCAGACUCCUACGGGAGGCAGCAGUGGGGAAUAUUGGACAAUGGGCGCAAGCCUGAUCCAGCCAUACCGCGUGGGUGAAGAAGGCCUUCGGGUUGUAAAGCCCUUUUGUUGGGAAAGAAAAGCAGCAGGUUAAUACCCCGCUGUUCUGACGGUACCCAAAGAAUAAGCACCGGCUAACUUCGUG